CAGCCGCGCGGUAAUACGGAGGGGGCUAGCGUUGUUCGGAAUUACUGGGCGUAAAACGCACGUAGGCGGCUGUGUAAGUCAGAGGUGAAAGCCCGGGGCUCAACCCCGGAAUAGCCUUUGAGACUGCAUAGCUUGAACACAGGAGAGGUGAGUGGAAUUCCGAGUGUAGAGGUGAAAUUCGUAGAUAUUCGGAAGAACACCAGUGGCGAAGGCGGCUCACUGGACCGUUGUUGACGCUGAGGUGCGAAAGCGUGGGGAGCAAACAGGAUUAGAGACCCCAGUAGUCCCUGUCUCUUAUACA
rnacentral:rRNA from 1 species